rnacentral:rRNA from 1 species
GACGUAGGGCGCGAGCGUUGUCCGGAUUUAUUGGGCGUAAAGAGCUCGUAGGCGGCUUGUUGCGUCAGCUGUGAAAAACCCGCAGCUCAACUGUGGGCUUGCAGCUGAUACGGGCAGGCUUGAGUUCGGUAGGGGGAGACUGGAAUUCCUGGUGUAGCGGUGAAAUGCGCAGAUAUCAGGAGGAACACCGGUGGCGAAAGGGCGGGGUCUCUGGGGCCCGAUACUGACGCUGAGGAGCGAAAAGCGUGGGGGAGCGAACAGG